rnacentral:lncRNA from 10 species
CUCUUUGAGACUCAGUUUCUUUUUCUAUUAAAUGGAAGUAGUGCUUAUACCCAUGCUUAUACUCAAUACGAUCAUGCAAGCAAAAGCGCUUUGUAAAUGACAAAAAGCCUCGAUAAGCGGAUCACUCCUAUCGUUAUUCUUUCCAUCCAGCCGCCUCCUGGAGCAGAUUGUUAAGCUGAUGCGAGUCUGGGCUCUGCCUCACCACUUGUCUCAGAGAUCACUAAUUCUCAAGCCAGCUCUCAUGUCAAAAGGACAUGCAGACAGUCUAUGGAGAGGCCAUGGGGACUCUAGCCAACAGCCAGUGAGGGCCUGAAGCCAUGAACACUGUGAGCACACUUGGAAGUGGCUCCUCCAGCCCCAGUCAAGCCUUCAGGUGACUGCAGCCCUGACUUGACAGCAACCUUGUGAGAGCCCCUGAGUCAGCCCCACCUUACUAGUUUCCAGACCCUCAGAUGCUGUGAGAGGUCACACACAUUUGCUGUGCCAAGCUACUGUGUUUGGGGGUAAUUU